UGAAAGAAAAAUAGAGUGAGGCAUCACAGAGAGUUUAAUUUGUGAGGAAAAAAUAGAGAGUGUGAGCGAUAUUGUAGUGAGGUGGAAAAAUCAAAAGAGAGAUAUUUCUUUUGAGUGUGUAGUAGUCACUUUGAGUAUUGUACUUGUGACUACAGUGUAAAAUUACUUACUAUAGUGAUAUCAGUUGCUCCUCUUGGCCCGUGAUUUUUCCCUCAUUGGAUUUCUACGUAAAAACUUUGGUGUCAUUAUCGGCUUUGUUGUUCUUGUUGACUAACCGUAUUACCAUUGUCAUAAUUACUGCCUUUUAUUACCACAAUGUUAUUAUCGUGGCGGGGUUUAUUCCCAAUACUAUAAACAUAAGGACUCACUUGAAGUAGCAUAAGACAGAGUAUGCUAGGCUUCAUCAAAUCUUCAAGAAAAUUGCAAAUAUCUUCAUAAGCACAGUGAAUUUGACAUGGCAAACUCUAUCUUCGUCAGUGUUCCUCUUAUUCUAACAGAACAUACAAUUACUUUUGUGCUUAAAUUAACUUCAAAAAAAAUACUUGACAUUUCUCUCAAGAAUUUUCAAAGGCAAAAGUUGGUCAAGAAGAAAUUAAGUUAGUUUACUCAAAAGAAAUUAAAUCAUUUGUCAUGCAUGUAUGGUGUGUUCCACAUAAAGUCGGCAUAAUUGGCCUACAAAUCCUG
rnacentral:lncRNA from 1 species